UGUUCGGAUGAGAAGCAAACCCUAAAUUUUUCAGUUUGUAAGUGAAGACCUUUGAAGACCUUGAGCCCUUGAAAUCAUCAGCUACUUCCUUCCUGGGCUGGGGGCGUCACUUCAGAUGCUUACUUGGAUGAUGAGCUCAGAAACCACAGACUCUUCUGCUAAGCCAUCUCUGCUGUGGCCACAUCCCAGGCUCUGAGGAGACAUGGGCUUUGCUGGGAGCUGCUGGACCCUUUGCUCCAUCCUGCUGCUUCUCGGAGGAAACCUGGGUGUCCUCAUCAAAGCCCCUCAGGAUUCGGUCAAUGGCACUGUGGGCCACUCCGUGCUCCUGCCCGUCUCCUACAAAUUCACAAACUCCUCUUGCUUCCCACUGUCGUUUCACUGGACGUUCAGUAACCGCUCGGACGCGCUCAUCACCUGCACGGUGCUGAACUGCUCCCUGAGCGCGGAGGGGGCUCCCAAGCACUGCUUUGCAAAGCAUUUCCCACACGCCGCGUACCGAGGUCGCGUUGUGCUUUUCCCUGAGAACGCGUCCCUGCUGCUCCGGGACCUGCAGCUCAGCGACGGCGGGGUGUACAGCGUCACCUUCAAGCAGCAGAUCCAAACCAGGCACAUCACCUUAACUGUGUAUGGGCAUCAUUUCACCUCUGAAGACGAUAAUACCUUACAAGACCUAAAAGCAAUAACGGGAUACAUUGUUGGAGGCUGUCUCAUCUUAUUCCUUCUGUUUUUCCUUCUCUACUGCAAGUGGCAUUUUGGUGCAAUUUUUCAGAAGACAUCUAGAGUUAUAAAGCAGCAAGAGUCCUCCAGCCAUGAUGAGUCCCACAUGGAGAACAAGCUGAGAAGGGAUAUAUGCACAGUUUACGCACUGAUUGGUGAUGACCAGACACAGCCCAGAAUGAUGUGAAAAGUUGAAUGCAUGUCUGUAGCUGUCAGUUGACAGGAACACUGUCUAACCUAAUGGACUGCCUGGGCUGUGAUCAUCUGCGGCAGGGACUGAGGGAGUGUCUACCAUUAGGCCUCCAUGACCUACCUGAGAAACAAUCCUGCAUGAAAGAAAAAUUUGUAACAUCGACCAGACAUAGCUCCUGAGGUGAAUAGGACACCUUCGCCUUUGACCUUGGCUCUGCUCCUGGGGAUGCUGCAUGUGCUCCUGUUUUGGCCUGGUGACUCUGCCCAUGCCACGGGCAGGGAAAGUGGGAUCUGGAGCUGCUGAGCGUAAGCCGGGUUGAUGAACUUGCACCACAGUUCCCUUUUUCUUUUUCACCUAAAACAUCAGAGAGUCUACAGAUGCCGGCCAGUGUGCGUGCAGGGCUGGGAACUCCUCCAGACCAGAGAGAAGGGAGUCUUAUGGCAAUCACAAAUCGUUUGGGAAAGACACAUCUAUAGGAUUUCUCGAUGAGAAGGACUGAGAAUACAUGAAGCCAAAUGCAUGGCACCUUCACUGUGAAAACAGACUAUUCAACAGACUGCUCGGACUGAAACACUGUCGUUUUCCCCAUAUCUCUUGACUGAGCCACGUGCCAUUUCCCACAGUAAUGGGCUGGUGAUGACAUCUGGGGUCCCUGAGCCUUAUCAAGGGAUCCCUGCUUCCUUUUUAAAGAUGCUCAGCUUCAUCCUGCUCUUCCACAAGGUGCAGUUACUCAAAGAUGACAAGAACCAUGAAGUAAGAAGAUGUGCUGUAAGAAUAAGAAGUCACUUUGUCACAGGGACAGGUAGAUAAUGCCUUCCUGACCAUUGGAAUUAGGCUGAAUUAGCUGUUGAGAAUAUGUUCCCGAGUAGCAGAUGUAAAAUAAGAGUAGCUGCUCACAAACCUUGGCCUGCUCAUGAAUACACAAACACUAGAGGCUUUCUACCAGCAUUCCUCCUGGGUUUAUUCUCCAUUCCUGGGUUUAUUCUCCAUAAACUUUCAAGCCAAUAAAUCCGGUCUUUGGCAGAAGUGGUUCAGAUCAUCAUCGGGUCUAAACCAGUGUAGAUGACACUCACUUCACUGGAAUCAUGCCAGCUUUAGAGGACAGAUCCCACUCUGAUUCUUCCUUAGGCUUUCAAUUCCUUACAGUAACAAAUUUUGAACUAUGUAGUAAUUUUUCUCCAAAAUAUUAAUUACGUAAGAAAUGGUCAAGCAUCCCAGAUAACUGAAGAAAAGUACUAGAACCCUUGUGAGGAGUGGUGUCUCGUGAAGCUGGCAGUGCCUUCUUGGUAAUACCAGAUAAAGCAGAGAUUCCUUAGGUAAUGGUAUCAGAAAAACUACAUUUGGAUAUGGAUGUAGCAAAACUGGGGCCAGUGGAGGAGGAGGGAGGAGAAGGAGGGAAGAAUAACUAAGGGUGGGAUGUUUAUUUGGGAGGAUUCAAGGUUGAUAAGGGAUGAAUAAGCAUGGGGAAAUGGAGAUGAAGGGGAUAAAAGUGGUUGGCUGCAUGUAGGCAGGCGGCAGAUCAGCAUGCUUGUGUGGCUAAGCCUUGAGCCUGAUCACUGUCAACUGUCCU